rnacentral:rRNA from 1 species
CCUACGGGUGGCAGCAGUGGGGGAUAUUGCACAAUGGGGGGAACCCUGAUGCAGCGACGCCGCGUGGGUGAAGGAGUGCUUCGGCAUGUAAAGCCCUAUCGGCAGGGAAGAAGCAAGACGGUACCUGACUAAGAAGCACCGGCUAACUACGUGCCAGCAGCCGCGGUAAUACUUAGGGGGCGAGCGUUAUCCGGAUUCACUGGGGGUAAAGGGAGCGUAGACGGCCAUGCAAGCCAGGGGGGAAAGCCCGGGGCCCAACCCCGGGACUGCCCUUGAAACUGUGCGGCUAGAGUGCGGGAGGGGCAGGCGGAAUUCCUGGUGUAGCGGUGAAAUGCGUAGAUAUCAGGAGGAACACCGGCGGCGAAGGCGGCCUUCUGGACCGCGACUGACGUUGAGGCUCGAAAGCGUGGGGAGCGAACAGGAUUAGAUACCCGAGUAGUC